rnacentral:lncRNA from 1 species
UGAGCUCCCAAAAGGCCUCGUUCUAGAUGGAGGCGAGCAUGUACAUAUAAGGCACAUCACCCCAUCUCCGUUGAUCGAUGUGGGAUGUUACACCAGUAACUCUGCUUGAAACCGAUCGGUUGCAGGAUGCGAGCGACCGGUCGCAUGAGACUCAGCCUGAAAACGACCGGUCGUCACUUGGAAAUCCAAAUCUGCUUCAACACGACUGGUUGCUAGAGGACCAGUCGCCUCCCUGCUGUCAAACUCAGGAAAGAAAAUUGAGGAGUUUUUAC